rnacentral:lncRNA from 1 species
CUGUGUUAAUUAUGCUACCCCGUCGAGCAGGGAUCAUUACCCUUGCUGCAUGUUUUGUUCCAAGAAAGACGCCAGUCAAGUUUACUUUAAUCACAUCCUCAAAUUCAGAUAAUUUGUUUUCAAGUAUCUUUGUUUUGUUUACACCGCUUAUGCCAGCGUUGUUAAACAUGAUAUCUAGUUUACCGUACUUGAAAACGGUUGUGUUCACGGCAUUUUCAAUGUCUUCUUCCUUUGUCACGUCACAACGAACAUAGGAAGAAGACGAUUUUUGUAAUUCCUUGCAAAUAGAGUGUCCUUUGUCGUCUUGGAUGUCAGCUAUAACGACUUGAGCUCCAUGCUCGGAGAAGAGUCUUGCAGUGGCCUCACCAAUGCCGCUCGCACCACCGGUGAUCAAAGCUACCUUCCCCUCAAGCCUUGUAAAUGAAUUGAGCAUGACAAAUUGUAAGUUAACUAUAACUUAAUUACAGUUCUAUAAGGUGAUAACCAAUUGUGUUUAUUAUAUAUAUAUAAAAUAAAAUAAAAUAUCAUUUUUAAGAAAUAAAUGAAAUAAGGUGAAGUUGCAACUUGUUUAUACCUUCUUAAGGCAUUAGAGACCAAUGGAACGGUUGACAUUGUUAGCUUUUCAAGUUUCUGGAUAGUCGAGGAGAAAUAUAGGUUUGGAUCUUCACUUCCUUCAACUAUCUUAUUGCAUCGUCCAUUAAAUAAAGCCCCAAGCUUUAAUCAUUUUUUCAAUAGUACUAAUGUUGGCGUUGAAUUAUUAUGUAGUUGCCUUCGUGGACCGUAGUAACACAAGGAACUUAUGGACCACAUGUUUUAAUUUUUAAAAAUUAUGCAGAAAGUGAUGUGUACCAACCAUUUACCAAUAAUGAAUGAAUGAGAAACGUUAAUUAGUGGCCUGUUAAGGAAACUGUUAGAGUCCACAUCGGUUAAAUAAAAGUGUUUGAUGUGAUACUUACGCCACCAAACUCUCCCAUUAAUAGACUAGCUAGUCUUUUGGAUUGGGUUCUCUUUAUAGACUUAAGUCCUAACAAUAUUGGUGCUCUCGUUGAGAGUUGGACCACGGAAAGGUUUAUAUAUAUUCUAGAUUCAGGUGCUCCACCGAAUACUGAUAGGUGAGUGAAGCCGCCAAAAAGGAAAGGGCUACCAUUAGGUCAGUGCCGAUAGAGUAAAAGUCGUCGUGGACGUCGGCUCUUAAAAGGUGUGACUAUUUUAGGAGUCCUACAUCGACUAAAUAAAAGUACUUGAUGUGGUACUUAAACCAUGAGACUCUUCCACCUAAUGAACCAAUUUUUUGAGUUGGGUCAUGAGUUUAAGUCCUAACAGAAACUAAUCUCAAAAUUUUACAUUGAAAAAUAGUAAACAAAUAGUAUGUUCAAAUUUUUGAAAGAAAAAAUUGUUGUUUUCAAUGAUAGAAACUUAGUAAGACUUUUUACUUACUUUUUAAAUUUAUGUCAAAAAAAUAAGUCAAUAAUACUCAUGUUCUGGAUUAGAGCCCGACCCAGCUCGUUAAAUAAAUAGACUCGAUCAUAUAUAGAGGUACAUGUUAAAGAGAGCAAUGCUAACGACAUAUCCUAAAAUAUCCGUCUAUCAUCCUAUCAUUACAUGAUCAAGAUUAGACGACAAACUAAAAUAUAUGUCAGAUAUUCAUCAACAGACUCUAAUGGGAGGGGAUUCUCUCCUGUGACUGGAGAGUUCAGUGAGAUCCUCUCCAUUCAAUUUUUUUAAUUGCAAGCAUUUAUAAUUAUUAAAAGGAUAAUUAAAAGUUCAGAUUUUCACUAGAGUAUCUAGUGAAAUUUUCACUGGAGAGGAUCCAAGUUCAUGUUUUUCACCACGUCCUCUUGUCUUGAAAUCCCAUCUAUUAAAGGAUGCAAAAGAGAAAGGUACAAAAUCAUGUUUUAAGACACAUGUGUGUUUGUUUUAAGUUUAUCAAAUUUAUUCUUAGGAAUAACAUUCCUUGGAAUAUAAAGAUAGAAAUUUUAUUCCAAGGAAUUUAAGAAAAAUAUGUUUGGUUAGCUUUAUAAUAUUCCUAUGAACUAUAAAAAUAGGGAUUAUAAUAGGAAAAUUAUUUAUAAAUUUAUUCCCAUCUCCAUGGGAACUUUAUUCCCACCAUUUUUCUUGGAAAUUUUUUUCUAUUCCCAGGAACAUUUUAUACACGGGAAUAAAAUUUAGUAAACUUAUACCAAACAUAGACAUAUACAUUCCUAUCAUUUUAUUCCCAGAAAUCAACAAUUAUAACUUGAAACAAACACACUCUAAUGUUCUAAAAGUAACUUAACAUGCAAAUCUAAUCAUCGUGAAUAUGUCAAUGUUGAAGAUUGGUUGUUGCAUUGCAAGAGAAAUAAAAGCAAAACUCAUCCUACAAACAUCAUGCAAACAGCCACUACAAAAUAAUGGAUAUAAUCAAUAUCUUUUGUUUUUGUAACAAUAACUUAUUAUUUUUUAUAAUUUCGAAUAUGUUAGUUUAUAUAUUGUGUAUAGAAAUUAGUUCGAUUUUGAUAAAUAUCAAUUUGUUUGUUAAAUGCAUCAGAUACAACUACAAAUUUUGAAGUCAUCACUAAGAAAAAGCAUUUUCAUCGCACAUCUAUUCACAAAAAUUUAUUAAAAUCAACAGUUCUUGAUUUUGAUAAUAUAUCUGAUGAUGAACUUCUGGAUAUUUCCUAGACUACUUAAGGUACACUAUAAAAUAUAUUACAUUUACAUGAGCUACAUUAGUUCUUUGUUUUUGUUUGGAUUUUCGUAUAAAAUAUGAGUUGUGCUAUAUGAUACGACAUCUUUAUCGCACCAUUUGCACGACCAUGUAUAUAAUUUUUUGACACAAGUAAGAUAAAAUAUUGUUUUCUACCACAAGUAAAAUAAUAUAUAAACUUAAUUAUUUCACAAUAUGAAUUGCAUUGACUUGGUAAUGGAUUACCACAAUAUUCUCCACCAAUAGUUUGGAGCGGUGCUUCUGCCACAAAACAUCCUUUUGAAAUAUUGUAGUGUAAUUCAACAAAGCCAAACCAUCAGGGUAUACAUGGUAUGCCAUAUCAUACAAAACAAAAACGUUGAAGUGAUAAGUUAAGAAAGAGAGAUAUGGCUAGAAAUAUACUUUAAAAAACCUGUCGUACCAUAAAACAUUUUCCAUAAAAUAUAUUACAUAGUUUGUAUCUGUUGGGUCACCGGAGAAGCUCGGGGGACCGUACACAUCGAGGCUAUAACAACCACUCAAGUAAGAGAGACACCACACUCUUACCUAAAACCUUAAGGCAAUGGGUUUAUGGGUCCUCUUAUUUAUAAGGUAUUCAACCUUUACUAUUUUAUCCGAUGUAGGACCGAUGUGGGACAUAUAACUCAGACUUGCAAACCAACACCCCCCUCAAGUGUGAGUCUAUCUAUUCAUCAUGCUCCCCCUUCAAGCGGAAACUCUUAUUUUACCUGUAUCGCCGUUCCUGCACAAGGAGCCACUUGCUGCUUGUACCGCCGUUGCGACUUUCUGCACAACCACCGGCUGCCUCGGUCGCACACUUCGUCGAACCGGGGCUCUGAUAUGGGACAUAUAACUCACACUUGCAAACCAACAUUACGAAGUAAUUAAUUCUCAUGCUAUAUAAUUAUUUCCGUAGCAAGAAACCAAACUUGGGAACUAGUUCAACUUCCUAAGAAUAAAAAACAAUUGGAGUCAACUAGGUUUUCAAAGUGAAAAUAAACUCAAUGAAUGAAGUGAAGUGAUAAGGCAAAAGUGAAGAUUAGUAGAAAAAUGUUUCCUGCAAAUAGAAGGAACGGACUUUGAUGAAGUAUUUGCACUUUUUUCAAGAAUCGAAACUAUCAGUAGUAACUGUUAUAUCAAACAUCAACAAUUGGUUUAUACAUCAAUUGGAUGUAAAACCAGAUUUUCAAAAUGGUCUAUGCAGGAAAAAGUAAACAUAGAUCCACCUCUUGGAUUUUUAGUGAAGAAUCAGGAAACAAAAGUGUAUGAGCUCAGAAAAGCGCUAUGGGAUCAAGCAAGCACGAAGAGCAUGGAACAAGGGGAUUGACAAGUUUCUCACUAAUCAAACACUUCGAAUAUAGGAGUAUACCAAGUUACCAAGAGCCAGACUCACAACAUGAUGAACUAACGUUCAAAUUCUAAUUGAGAGAAGUUCCCGUUCAAUGUUGAUACAACUAAUAAAUUGAAAAUAGUUUGAAUAUGGAACCAUUACCUUAUCAUCAUUUAUAUACGGUCGAUCUUAUCUUAUAUCAACUAUGAACUAACUUAUCAAUGCGAAUGCACAAGUAUUUUGCUAGUUAUGAAUGAAUAGAUAAAUACUUAUACGUACGUAACACAUAUUUAGACAGAUUCUCCAAACACACAAAACCCAUUAUUUACAACCGUGAAUCCUCCAUCGAUGACAAGAUUGUGACCACUAACAUACUUAGACUCAUCACUUCCCAAGUAUAGAGCAGCUUCAGCCACAUCUUUUGGCACAAGAUUAGCACCCUUUAGGUUAGAAUAAACAUCUAAAACAUCAUCAUCAUCAUCGAGCUUAAAAUAUUUCUUAACCAACGGAGUUGCAACAAUAUAAGGUGACACACAAUUCACCCGAAUACCAAACCGUCCAAGCUCGAUGGCCGUGUUUCUCAUCAGCCCAACAACGGCGUGCUUUGCACUUGUGUAGGCAUGUGGAGCGACACCACCUAUGCUUCCACAAACACUAGCUGUGUUAAUUAUGCUACCCCGUCGAGCGGGGAUCAUUACCCUUGAUGCAUGCUUUGUUCCAAGAAAGACACCAGUCAAGUUUACUUUAAUCACAUCCUCAAAUUCAGAUAAUUUGUUUUCAAGUAUCUUUGUUUUGUUUACACCGCUUAUGCCAGCGUUGUUAAACAUGAUAUCUAGUUUACCGUACUUGAAAACGGUUGU